AUUGAACGCUGGCGGCAGGCCUAACACAUGCAAGUCGAACGAGUGGCGGACGGGUGAGUAAUGUCUGGGAAACUGCCUGAUGGAGGGGGAUAACUACUGGAAACGGUAGCUAAUACCGCAUACCAUCAGAUGUGCCCAGAUGGGAUUAGCUAGUUGGUGGGGUAACGGCUCACCAAGGCGACGAUCCCUAGCUGGUCUGAGAGGAUGACCAGCAACACUGGACAUGGUCCACGGCCCAGAAUCCUACGGGAGGCAGCAGUGGGGAAUAUUGCACAAUGGGAGCAAGCCUGAUGCAGCCAUGCCGCUUGUAGGAAGAAGGCCUUCGGGUGGUAAAGUACUUUCAGCGGGGAGGCGUUACCCGCAGAAGAAGCACCGGCUAACUCCGUGCCAGCAGCCGCGGUAAUUC
rnacentral:rRNA from 1 species